rnacentral:lncRNA from 1 species
AAGCACAACAUUUCAUCUCUUUGAUUCUAGACACUAUCCUCAGAAAUUAGAUUUGAAAAAUGAGCUUCAUUUUCGAAGAACAUAUUUCUUUAUAGGGGGAGAAUAAUUGACUCCAUUCAAGUGUUCGCUCCUGUUUCAAUCAACUAUGGCUGAAGAGUGAGGAGACAUUUGGAAUAAAUAUGGCUUCUGGGGGCCCAUUCCUAUGGAUCAGCAGCUGGCUUCUGGAGGCCCAUUCCUGUGAAUCGUCGAUCUCAUAGAAGAUAAUAUUGUUAGAAGGCUUACCUCAUUGAUGCUGAACAUCCUAAAAAGCUUCUGCUGCUUUGAGUCACUGAAAAAGACCAAGAAACAUGAAUUUAAAAAAAAAUUUCAAAUGUUAUAAAAUAAAUAAUAUGAACUCAUUAUACCUACAAUGAAUAAUUUAAAUUCUUCUUUGGUAGUCCAGCAUAGGUUUAGAAACUAUGAAAACCCUAGAAGAAAACCUAGGCAAUGCCAUUCAGGACAUAGGCACGGACAAAGAUUUCAUGACGAAGACGCCAAAAACAACUGCAACAAAAGCAAAAAUUGACAGAUGGGAUCUCAUUAAACUAAAGAGCUUCCAUACAGCAAAAGAAGCUACCAUGAGAGUGAACAGACAACCUAUAGAAAGGGAGAAAAAUUUUGCAAUCUGUUCAUCUGACAAAGGUCUAAUAUCCAGCAUCUACAAGGAACUUAAAUAAAUUUACAAGAAAAAAACAAACCCAUUAGAAAAUGGGCAAAGGACAUGAAAAGAUACUUCUCAAAAGACAUACAUGUGGCCAACAAUCAUACAAAAAAAACCUCAACAUCACUGAUGAUUAGAAAAAUGCUAAUCAAAACCACAACGAGAUACCAUCUCAUACCUGUCAGAAUGGCUAUUAAUAAAAAGUUAAAAAACAACAGAUGCUGGUGAGGUUGUUGAGAAAAAGGAAUACUGUUAUACUGUUGGUGGGAAUGUAAAUUAGUUCAACCAUUGUGGGAGACAGUGUGGCAUUUCCUCAAAGACCUAGAGGCAGAAAUACCAUUUGACUCAGCAAUCACGUUACUGGAUAUAUACCCAAAGGAAUAUAAAUCAUUCUAUUAUAAAGAUACAUGCAUGCGCAUGUUCACUGCAGCAUUAUUCACAAUAGCAAAGACAUGGAAUCAACCCAAAUGCCCAUCAAUAACACACUAGAUAAAGAAAAUGUGGUAUAUAUACACCAUGGAAUACUAUUCAGCCAUAAAAAGGAAUGAAAUCAAGUCCUUUGCAGGAACAUGAAUGAAGCUGAAGGCCAUCAUCUUCAGCAAACUAACACAGGAACAGAAAAUAAAAUACCACAUAUUCUCACUUACAACUGGGAGCUGAAUGAUGAGAACAUAUGGACACAUAUAGGGGCACAACACACACUGGGGCCUGUUGGAGGGUGCUGGGGGGAGGAGGCAGAGCAUCAGGAAGAAUAGCUAAUGGAUUCUGGGCUUAAUACCUAAGUGAUGAGAUGAUCUGUGCAGCAAACUACCAUAGUACAUGUUUACCUAUGUAACAAACCUGUACGUCCUGCACAUGUACCCCUGAACAUUAAAA